GUGGGGAAUUUGGACAAUGGGCGCAAGCCUGAUCCAGCAAUGCCGCGUGCAGGAAGAAGGCCUUCGGGUUGUAAACUGCUUUUGUACGGAACGAAACGGUCCUGGUUAAUACCUGGGGCUAAUGACGGUACCGUAAGAAUAAGCACCGGCUAACUACGUGCCAGCAGCCGCGGUAAUACGUAGGGUGCGAGCGUUAAUCGGAAUUACUGGGCGUAAAGCGUGCGCAGGCGGUGCUGUAAGACAGGCGUGAAAUCCCCGGGCGCAACCUGGGAAUUGCGCUUGUGACUGCAGUGCUGGAGUACGGCAGAGGGGGAUGGAAUUCCGCGUGUAGCAGUGAAAUGCGUAGAUAUGCGGAGGAACACCGAUGGCGAAGGCAGUCCCCUGGGCCUGUACUGACGCUCAUGCACGAAAGCGUGGGGAGCAAACAGGAUUAGAAACCCUGGUAGUCC
rnacentral:rRNA from 1 species